rnacentral:rRNA from 1 species
AUUGAACGCUGGCGGCAGGCUUAACACAUGCAAGUCGAACGAGUGGCGGACGGGUGAGUAAUUCUUGGGAAUCUAGCUUAUGGAGGGGGAUAACUACGGGAAACUGUAGCUAAUACCGCGUACCAUAGGAUGAGCCCAAUGGGGAUUAGGUAGUUGGUGAGGAAAAGGCUCACCAAGCCGACGAUCUCUAGCUGGUCGGCGAGGAUGACCAGCCACCCGGGAACUGAUACACGCACCAGACUCCUACGGGAGGAAGCAUUGGGGAAUAUUGCGCAAUGGGGGCAACCCUGACGCAGCCAUGCCGAGUGAAUGAAGAAGGCCUUCGGGUUGUAAAGUACUUUCAGCGGGGAGGCGUUACCCGCAGAAGAAGCACCGGCUAACUCCGUGCCAGCAGCCGCGGUAAUUC